GCCGGUGUGGCGGAAUGGUAGACGCGGCGCACUCAAAAUGCGUUGUCGCAAGACGUGUGGGUUCGAGUCCCACCACCGGUACAA
rnacentral:tRNA from 1 species